rnacentral:rRNA from 1 species
UCUACGGGAGGCAGCAGUGAGGAAUAUUGGUCAAUGGUCGGGAGACUGAACCAGCCAAGCCGCGUGAGGGAUGAAGGUACAGAGUAUCGUAAACCUCUUUUGUCAGGGAACAAAGGCGGGGACGUGUCCCCGGAUGAGUGUACCUGAAGAAAAAGCAUCGGCUAACUCCGUGCCAGCAGCCGCGGUAAUACGGAGGAUGCGAGCGUUAUCCGGAUUUAUUGGGUUUAAAGGGUGCGCAGGCGGUCUGUUAAGUCAGCGGUAAAAGCCCGGGGCUCAACCCCGGCCCGCCGUUGAAACUGGCAGUCUCGAGUUGGAGAGAAGUAUGCGGAAUGCGCGGUGUAGCGGUGAAAUGCAUAGAUAUCGCGCAGAACUCCGAUUGCGAAGGCAGCAUGCCGGCUCCACACUGACGCUGAGGCACGAAAGCGUGGGUAUCGAACAGGAUUAGAUACCCUAGUAGUC